rnacentral:rRNA from 1 species
UACACUCCUGCGGGAGGCAGCAGUGGGGAAUAUUGGACAAUGGGCGCAAGCCUGAUCCAGCCAUGCCGCGUGAGUGAUGAAGGCCCUAGGGUUGUAAAGCUCUUUCACCGGAGAAGAUAAUGACGGUAUCCGGAGAAGAAGCCCCGGCUAACUUCGUGCCAGCAGCCGCGGUAAUACGAAGGGGGCUAGCGUUGUUCGGAAUUACUGGGCGUAAAGCGCACGUAGGCGGAUCGAUCAGUCAGGGGUGAAAUCCCAGGGCUCAACCCUGGAACUGCCUUUGAUACUGUCGAUCUGGAGUAUGGAAGAGGUGAGUGGAAUUCCGAGUGUAGAGGUGAAAUUCGUAGAUAUUCGGAGGAACACCAGUGGCGAAGGCGGCUCACUGGUCCAUUACUGACGCUGAGGUGCGAAAGCGUGGAGAGCAAACAGGAUUAGAAACCCUGGUAGUCC